GAGGAAAGCGGUCACCAUCCGUCAGCGCGUUGCGCCCGCGGGUGCGUUUUGG
rfam:Devosia geojensis strain BD-c194 NODE_110, whole genome shotgun sequence.